CCUACGGGAGGCAGCAGUGAGGAAUAUUGGUCAAUGGGCGCAAGCCUGAACCAGCCAUCCCGCGUGCAGGAUGAAGGCCCUAUGGGUCGUAAACUGCUUUUAUACACCAAGAAAAACACCCACGUGUGGGUGCCCGACGGUAGUGUAUGAAUAAGCAUCGGCUAACUCCGUGCCAGCAGCCGCGGUAAUACGGAGGAUGCAAGCGUUAUCCGGAUUCAUUGGGUUUAAAGGGUGCGUAGGCGGCUUUUUAAGUCAGUGGUGAAAUCUUGCCGCUUAACGGUAAAAUUGCCAUUGAUACUGAUAAGCUUGAGUACAAUUGAGGUAAGCGGAAUGUGUAGUGUAGCGGUGAAAUGCUUAGAUAUUACACAGAACACCGAUUGCGAAGGCAGCUUACUAAACUGUUACUGACGCUGAUGCACGAAAGCGUGGGGAGCGAACAGGAUUAGAUACCCUGGUAGUCCACGCCGUAAACGAUGAUCACUCGCUGUAUGCGAUACACAGUAUGCGGCCAAGCGAAAGCAUUAAGUGAUCCACCUGGGGAGUACGAUCGCAAGGUUGAAACUCAAAGGAAUUGACGGGGGCCCGCACAAGCGGAGGAACAUGUGGUUUAAUUCGAUGAUACGCGAGGAACCUUACCUGGGCUCGAACGUGGAAUGACAGUCGCGGAAACGUGAUCUUCUUCGGACAUUCUACGAGGUGCUGCAUGGUUGUCGUCAGCCCGUGCCGUGAGGUGUCAGGUUAGGUCCUAUAACGAGCGCAACCCCUACACUUAGUUGCCAGCAUGUCAUGAUGGGGACUCUAAGUGGACUGCCAGCGCAAGCUGUGAGGAAGGUGGGGAUGACGUCAAAUCAGCACGGCCCUUACGUCUAGGGCGACACACGUGCUACAAUGGCCGAUACAGAGGGCAGCUACAUAGUGAUAUGAUGCGAAUCUCAAAAGUCGGUCUCAGUUCGGAUCGGAGUCUGCAACCCGACUCCGUGAAGUUGGAUUCGCUAGUAAUCGCAGAUCGGCCAUGCUGCGGUGAAU
rnacentral:rRNA from 1 species